rnacentral:rRNA from 1 species
UAGAGUUUGAUCCUGGCUCAGAUUGAACGCUGGCGGCAUGCCUUACACAUGCAAGUCGAACGGUAACAGGUCUUCGGAUGCUGACGAGUGGCGAACGGGUGAGUAAUACAUCGGAACGUGCCCGAUCGUGGGGGAUAACGGAGCGAAAGCUUUGCUAAUACCGCAUACGAUCUACGGAUGAAAGCAGGGGACCGCAAGGCCUUGCGCGGACGGAGCGGCCGAUGGCAGAUUAGGUAGUUGGUGGGAUAAAAGCUUACCAAGCCGACGAUCUGUAGCUGGUCUGAGAGGACGACCAGCCACACUGGGACUGAGACACGGCCCAGACUCCUACGGGAGGCAGCAGUGGGGAAUUUUGGACAAUGGGCGAAAGCCUGAUCCAGCCAUGCCGCGUGCAGGAUGAAGGCCUUCGGGUUGUAAACUGCUUUUGUACGGAACGAAAAGACUCCUUCUAAUAAAGGGGGUCCAUGACGGUACCGUAAGAAUAAGCACCGGCUAACUACGUGCCAGCAGCCGCGGUAAUA